CAACUACUCCCUCUGUCCCAAAUUUCUUGUCUUAGAUUUGUCUAGAUACGGAUGUAUCUAAUACUAAAAUGUGACUUGAUACAUCCGUAUCUAGACAAAUCUAAGACAAGAAUUUUGGGACGGAGGGAGUACUGU
rfam:Triticum aestivum genome assembly, contig: Triticum_aestivum_CS42_TGACv1_scaffold_200220_3AL